UGCCACGUGUCCCACGUCUCCCAGUGGGAGACGUUGGAUGUCCCCCUGGCCAUUUAAUGAAUUUUGGGUCUUCUUCUUCCUCAUAACACCAAACAGAGAGAGCACACCAAACAGAGAGCACGAAAGGGGUUGCGAUUUUAGGGUUUUCAAGGUUGUGAUUUUGGUGGUGAGAUUUUAGAGAGUACUUUGCAUCAAUACUUCUAUAUCUAUCAAUCACACAUUUGAGAUGGUUAGGUCACUAUUAUAGGGGAAAUGCUGCCCGAUAUUAUUUAGGAUAAUAAACGAUUAGUUGAGAACGGGCAUUACUUGAUUGAACAUGCAAGUCCCAGGCAUUACUUGAGAACGCUAACAAGCACAUCAUAUACAGAGGCACAAAUUGAUGAGUUGCGACAAGAAUGGGCGACAUAUGUGUUGCCGAUAAUCCAAAGUUACCGACCUCGUUGAUAGGUUUUUUUUUAAUUUUUUAACUCUUUCUUCAUACACAAUGCAAUAUUUGUUCAUUUUGAAUAUUUCUAACAAAUAUUGUAUUUCUUGUAUAUAUCUAACAAAUAUAUUUUUUUAUUUCAAUUUAAAUUAAUAUUAUUUCAAUUUAAUUAAUUUAAAUUUAGAUUAAAAUAAUUUCAA